AGCUGAUCCACCCACUAGAAUUGUGGAAAGCUUUUACAUCGCUUUCCCCACAACCCGGAAAGAAGACAAGAAUGGGAAGUGAAGGUUCGCAGUCCAACACCGGAGAGUCACAGAUUACAGCGUCUUGUGCAAGGCAUCGGAACACUCAAGCCAACGAUGGGGGAGCUAAGGAUGCUAAUGCUGGCAAAGCUACCAACUGGCAAGACAAGAGGACACUGAUUUGAAAGACUUCGAGUUCCAACUCAGCCACAACUCGGUGAGGCCCCGGUGUGCCCUGCCCCGCCGCUGGACCGCCGGCCACGCCUCCUCGCCGCCAUCUCGGAGUCGGCCCCGGCGGGGCACGCCUCGCUGUCGGUCUGCCGGCCCCACCUCCCCACACACGAUAAACAAAAUUCUCAGGUCUGAUGAGACAAAAAGACUCUUUGGCGUGAAUGCCAGGCAUCAUGUUUGGAGGACACCAGGCAUUGCUCAUCACCAGGCCAAUACCAUCCCUACAGUGAAGCAUGGUGGUGGCAGCAUCAUGCUGUGGGGAUGUUUUUCAGCGGCAGUAACUGGGAGACUAUUCAGGAUAGAGGAAAAGAUGAAUGCAGCAAUGUACAGAGACAUCCUGGAUGAAAACCUGUUCCAGAUCGCUAUUGAACUCCGACUGAGGCAACGUUUCAUCUUUCAGUAAGACAAUGACCCUAAACACACAGUCAAUAUUUUAAAGGAAUGGCUUCAGGACAACCCUGUAAAUGUCCUUGAGUGGCCCAGGCAGAAGCCAGAUCUGAAUCCAAUUGAACAUCUCUGUAGAGAUCUGAAAAUGACUGAGCACCAACGCUUGCCAUCCAACCUGAUGGAGUUUUAGAGAUGCCAAAAAGACGAAUGGGUGAAACUGCCCAAAGAUAGGUGUGCCAAGAUUGUGGCAAAGUAUUCAAAAGACUUGAGGCUGUAAUU